UACGGAGGGUGCAAGCGUUAUCCGGAUUCACUGGGUUUAAAGGGUGCGUAGGUGGGCAAGUAAGUCAGUGGUGAAAUCUCCGGGCUUAACCCGGAAACUGCCAUUGAUACUAUUUGUCUUGAAUACUGUGGAGGUCAGCGGAAUAUGUCAUGUAGCGGUGAAAUGCUUAGAUAUGACAUAGAACACCAAUUGCGAAGGCAGCUGGCUACACAAAUAUUGACGCUGAGGCACGAAAGCGUGGGGAGCAAACAGG
rnacentral:rRNA from 1 species